AUUUGGCUGGGCCUUUGUCUCUCGCUCCCACCAGAGCUUGGAAUCCGUCUCUUCUCUAAUGCGUUCUCCACCUCGGGAGCCCCUGGUGAUUCCGUGACGGCCUCUGUUGCCCUGUGAUCUGCAGGUCCGGAGAGACGCACAGCUAAGAUGUCAGGACAUCCUGGAAGCUGGGAAAGGGUCUUGCCAUCUCUAAGCUGGACCUGGUGACCUUUCUGGAGGGAAAGAAAGAGCCCUGGACUGUGAAGAGUGAGGAGGCCAUAGCUGCACAGCCAGUCCAGAUGUAUAAUCUCAUCCCUGAACAUUUCUGAUGGUGUGAUUAUGACAUGUGACUUUAUCCGGCAACAGAGUGAGUUGAUGCUCCCGCCUGAGCCCAGCCCACAGAAAGGAUUGUGACAUAUCGUUGGACCCAGAAUUGAGGUGGAAUUGUGACAUAUAACUUGGCCAAGCACACAGAUGUAAUGGUGUGGUGACUCUCAUACCUAGAACUGGGACCUGUGCGGGAUUGUUAAUUCAUUACUGGACAUUCCUGUGGGUGUGAUUGUUACAUAUGCCUAUGUUCAGCACCCGAGUGAUUUGAUUUUGCUGCCUGGUCUCAGUCCAAAGGUAAGAUUGUGAUUUAUUGCUGAAUCCAGCACCUUGGUGAUUUGACUGUCCUCUUUUUUUGUGGGAGGGAUCCUGCAAAUUUUGGGUAUUGUCAAUUAUUGCUGAAUCCUGCACCCAUGUUUAUGUGACUCUCCCAAAUGUGCCUUACAUGUUGUGGCACAAUAUAUCACAUUAGACAUUGUUAAAUAUUGUUGGGUUCAUCACCUGGGUGAUGGAUGUAACUUUUUUUCUGGGCCUGCCUACAGGGGACCUUGUGACAUAACUCAAUGCCCAUCACCAUGGUAAUGUUACUCUCUUCUCCUGCCUGGUCUCUGCUCACAGAGAAAUUGUGACAGAUCACUGGCCUAGCAUCUAGGUGAUGUGACUCUCCUCUUUUUUUCAGGCUCUGCAUAUUUGGGUAUUGUGACAUAUUGCAGAACUCAACACCUAAGGGAUGGGAGUCUCCUACCUAGGCCCUUCCUACAGGGGGCAUUGUGACAUGUCUCUGCAUUCCUCAUCCAGGAGAUAUGACUCUCCUUUUCUGCCUACACCCUGCCUACACAGAAAGUUGUGGCAUAUUGCUGUGGUCAGCGACCAGAUGAUAUGUUUCUCCUGCCUGGGUCUUUAUUACAGGAAAGAUGGUUGACAUAUUACUGGGCCCAGCAUCCAGAUGAUGUGACUCUCUUCUUCUGUUGGUCCCUGCUUACAGGGAAACUGUAGCAUAUUGCUACACCCAGCACCUAGCUUGUGUGAUUCUUCUUUUAGGUUUGCCUUCAGGGAACAUUGUGACAUAUUGCUGGGCCCUGCAGUGACAAUUUGUGACUCUUCUGCCUGUGAUUUGCCCACUUGGGGCAUUGUGACAUAUUGCUGGGUUUAACACUCAGGUGAUGUAACUUUUAUGCCUAGGCCUUGCUUACAGGAGGCAUUUUGAAAUGUCUUUGUGGCUGGGCACGGUGGCUCAUGUCUGUAAUCCCAGCGCUUUGGGAGGCCAAGGUGGGCAGAUCACAAAGUCGGGAGUUCGAGACCAGCCUGGUCAACAUGGUGAAAACCCGUCUCUACUAAAAACAAACAAACAAACAAACAAAAAACAAAAAUCAUCCAGGUGUGGUGAUUGGUGCCUGUAGUCCCAGCUACUCAGGAGGCUGAGGCAGGAUAAUUGCUUAAGCCCAGGAGGUGGAGGUUGCAAUGAGCUAAGAUCGCACCAUUGCACUCCAUCUUGGGCAACAGAGUGAGACUCCAUCUCCAAAAAAU
rnacentral:lncRNA from 1 species